AUGCAAAAAUAUCUCAAACACUCUUCCUUCAAAACUGGCAUGAAACCAAAGCAUCCUGUUCGUUUAAAUGUGGUUACCACCUCGAAAAACCAAGACAAUAAAAUCAAUGGAGUUUACUCUGAGACUUUGACUAUCUCAGCAGAGGAUGAAUCGCCUGUAGAUUCUCAAAAUGAAAAACCAGGUGCAAAAUAUACUAGACUUCGAUUACAGUUAAAUGAAUUGAUGAAGAAACGAAGACAAGAGGAAUGGCAGAAACGGCUCAAAACACAUCAAGUGGAUGAAGAAGAGAUCGAAGAUGGCGAGAAAUCGGAAUGUGAAGCAUUGCUUGACGAUGAUGAUGAUUACGGUGAUUCUAACCAUCGUUUGACGGAGAGUGAAGACUCGGAUCUAGAGGAGAAUGAUAUUGAUUUGUCCGAGAAGAAGAAGAAGAAAAGUGCUUUUGUUGAUGAUGAAGCUGAGGAAGAUUCAGAUGAGGAUGAAGAUGACAAAGAUGAAAGUGAUGAAGAAGAUGAGGACAGUAGUAAAAUCAAAGAUAAGAAGGCAAAUAAAAUACGGAAACAAAAAGUCUUCAUAGAAGAGGAAGAGUAUGAGGGGGAUGAUGAUGAUGGAGACGAUGAUGAAAAGGAAACCGAUGUUAAUGAAGAUGAUAACUGGAUGCUAGGUCAAACCAAAUUUCGAUCACAGAUUACUCAGCAGGUUCUGACGGCUACUCAUACCCCUGAAGUAGCUGAAGCUAGAUUAAAUGAUUCAAAGUUUGAUAUGUCUUUUGAGACAAGCAAAUUUGGAUGCCUUGAUGAGACUGAGUUGAACAGAACUUCAAAUCAUGAAAUCUCUGGCAUUGAAGAUUUGAUCAAUGUAAAGAACUCAGAACUUGUCACUGAAAGCCAGGUCCUCGGUCUUUGCUCAGGUGCUUUUCAGACGCAACCACCACAGCCAUCAACAAUGGAUAAUGAGGAGGAAGAUCUUAAUUUUGUCAUGUCUCCAACUCCAGCAAGCACUCAAACCCAAGAUUCUCAGAAUCUAGGUAUGAAAAAGUUCAACCCUUGUCUUUCAAGUGAUGACGAAGAAGAGCCAGGCUUGACUGUCAAAAAGAAGAAGAAUACCCUAAAAUUUUCAGACGAUGAAGAUGAUACAUUGGACACAAAAGAAGAAGAAGUUGAAGAAAGCGACAAAGAAGACCCAGACUCCAUCUCUGUGUUAGAUGAGGAAGAUGAUAACCGAAGCGUCAUGUAUGAUUCUGAAGAAAACGAGAUCAAAGUAUCCAAAAAGAUGUUGGGCAGUUUUUUGAUAAAGAGGCUGAACUUUCAGAAUCAGAGUGGGAUUCGGAAGAUGAAGAUGAAAAAGGACUAGAUAGAAUGGACGAAGAACUUGGAGACCAAGAGAACUUUGAUGAGGAUGAGGUACAGAAACAACUGGGGAAAAUCCACAUGUAUGUAUUUCAUAUUUAAUUGGUCUUUUUUGUGAAUAUUUAUGAACCUUCACUUUCUACCAAAAGUAAGGGUCUUGUUGAAGAAGUUGGGGGUAAAUUGAACUCACUUUUUUCAAAUUUGUAUGCCAUUUAUAAUAUGCAGGGUGUCUACAGGUCCGGAAUUUCUGGAAAGUCCGGAAAUAGUACUGAUUUUUUAAGGGCGGUCCGAAAGUAAUGAAAAAGUGCAAGAUCCGGAAUUUGUUUCAUUUUUUGUCACCUUUGUUAAAAAAAAUUGAACAAACUUAAGAGAAUAAGAAGCAGAAAAAAUUAAGAGGCAUAGUUAGACUUACACAACUUUUUGUGGGAGUCUCGUUUAUAUCUCUCCGUUAAUCGAUAAAAAAGUUGAUGAAGUUAGUGCUGUUGCUGCACAUUAUGUAGUAUUAACGUACAAGUUACCUGGGAUUAUAUGGUGUAAUUCUAUGGAAUUAAGCAAGAUUUUAUUGAACAAAUGUUAGGGAGGAGAUGUCAAGAGCAUUUAAUUUUCACAAUUUCAUUAGAUCUUGUCUUACCUUUGUUGAAAAUUUUUUGCGGAAACCUCAAGGUCAAUAAAAUAAUAUUAUGAUCAAAUUUGUGGAAAAUUAAAGCAUAAGGAAGCUUGAGAAAUUUACGGUAAGUAACUUAAGAUGAUCAUUGAGAACAGAGAGGCAUGUCUUCAAGGAUGAGCAGCCGCAAAAUUUUUCCAUGGAAAUGACACAAUGUACCUUUAAUGAUAAAGAAUUCCCAGGUGUUUUCUCCGCCUUAAUGAAGAAUCGGACCAGAUUAUGCCCUAUAGCUGGUUUCACACCAAUUUUUGAUGCUCACAAUGGAGGGAUGUGUACUAGCUCUAUUAUUUAAACACUUUGUAAAUUGACGGUGAAACUUCAGAAAUGGGUAUCUUGGUUGCGGUGUUUCUGAAUCUCCACUCCUAUUUUAUUUUUUAAAAGGAAAGCGAACUAACAUCAUAGCCUGAAAUGUUCACAGAAUAUUCUUCUCAUAGAGGAAAAAACAUCACAGAAGUUUUCAGGAAAUGACAUUAAGUAGUUUUCCCUGUGGAAAGUAAAGUUUGACUGGAAGUCUACAAUGUGGCGAACCAAGAUAUGCAUGGCUGCAGUUUUACUAUUGAUAUGUUUUAAAUUUUUGGUUGAAUUGAUAAGUUCAGACUUCCUUUAUUUUGAUGGAGCAUUGAUUAUUUUUGAUGCCAACAAAAGCAUGCAGAGUAUAUACCAAUACAUCAUUUAAAAACCUAUAAUAGAAUGAUGAGUCAGCCUCAGUGGUGUAGUGGUCAAGGCAGUUCGCUGCCAACACUGAGGUCCCGGGCUCAAUCCCCGGAGGUGACUGAUCAGUCAUCAAGACCGUGGAUGACUAUGCCACUCCUAUACCCUGACCCUUUGAGGUAACAGGGUGCGGGAGGGACAUAGUCACCCAGUAAGUAAUCCGUCUGCACUGUUUGACUGGGUUGUGAAAAAAUCGGUAAUCACUCGUAGUGUGCGCGACUGCCAGCGCUGCUUAUCAGGGGAGAUAGCAACAACACAAUCCAACUCGGUGGAGGCAUGGCCAAGCUCCGAAAAUCCGUGCUCUGCAGCAUCUGCCAAAGUCUUCGAUAAGACCUACCGUUGGCUAUCAGACGGCCGCUGAGCCUUGCGGGAAUAUAGAGGAUACACUAAGUGUCAAUGGUAUGAGGUUAAAGAGCACGGUCCAACUUCGGGUUGCACAGCGGCAGUUGCCAGUUGCCUUGGCCCCUUGAGGACGCCUCGCUGGUCAGCCCGGCCUUACUUACUUAUUUACUUAAUAGAAUGAUGAUUUCAUCUACAUACAUCAUGCCAAUGCCAUUGUUUUGCAACGCCUCAGUCAUAGGUACAAGUGAUUAAUCAACAUGACACUUUUGAGGUGGAAAACGCGCAAAAAUUACCAAGAUUAAGAAAGAGAAUAAAGGAAAUAUGAAUUAGACUUAGUGUAAUACUAAUUAACCAAAGAAACUUUCAUUCUCUUCCAUAGGCGACAGCUUCUUGAUGAUGACCAAAGAGACAUCAAAUUGCUUCAAGAGCGGUUUUUGGAAGAUGGAGAGUUGCAUUCAGAAGGUGGAAGGGAGAAGAACUUCCGAUGGCAAAAUAUUAACAGCGCAGCCCUAGAAGCUUGGAGUCAACGAAGAGAUUCAGAUGAUGAAGAACCACAAGAAGAGGAAGAGGGAAAUGAACAAAGUGAAGAACUUUGGCGGAAAAUGAGAGCAGAGAGGGAUGCUUUCUUUAAAAAAUGAAGAAGGUGAGCGGUUAUUUGAGACAACCGAGAAUGAUUCAACUAGCUAACACUUUUGCCUGCAGCUCUAUUGGUAUUGAACUUUUUGCUCUGUUAUUUUUCCCACUGAUCGAGUUUUGCAUCGUAGCAAUUGAAGGAGUAUCAAUGGGCUAUCAGACGAAGUGCGAAUUUAAACAUUAUGAUUUAUGUUUUCUAAUCAAAAUUCCGUUUCAAACACAAUUCGUACAAGGAAAAUCAUCAAAAGUAACUCAAGACCAAGAUAUUAACGUUUUUCGAGGCAUAAAUUUAAACUUCCCGCUCUUGAAAAAAACCACAAUCCACUUGAGUUAAAUUGAAGUUAAUUGAGUCACAUUAUUGUACUUCACCACAACAGUUUUUUGGAUAUGAAAAUAUGGCAACUUCAAUCUCCGCGCUUCAG
rnacentral:lncRNA from 1 species